rnacentral:lncRNA from 1 species
UGAGUUUUCUGAGAGUGUCUCACAUCUAAAACUCUUUUUCCUACUUCUCAUCUUUGGAAGAGUCCAAAUCAAGAAGAAGGUAUUUGAUCGACCAUCGAAGAAGGAUCAGCAUAGUACUAGUAUACUGUGCUGAUUUUUUGGACCAGGACUUCUGAUCAUGAUUCGUGGGCUCGUGUAGAUGACUCCUAGAGGUCGAACGCAUGUGCGGCUCAC